rnacentral:sRNA from 1 species
ACACGAGAAGGGAGGUGGUUCGGCAGAUGUAUGACAACCGGACGCGUGAGGUGGCUGCGGGCUAGCGGCCUGUCACCACACUCGGUGCGGUGCCGGACCAGUGCGUGAAUUGAACGCGCAGCCGGCCCAAUCUCAAGCAGUCACCCGACCCGUGGGCUCGCCGGUACGUCCGGCCGGCUUCUCCGUCGUUGAGAUGGGGGACCUGAGCUCGCGGGUCGUCUGCG